GGAAAUUGUUGAUGCAUAUGGGUGAGUGUCACUUUAAAUUAGUCUCAUGCUAUUACUUUCUUGGUGAAUGUGUUAGAACACCAACCAAUGUAUCAUAAAAUAUGUGCUGGAUCCCAUUUGUGCCAACAUGUCUAGCAUCAUUCUAUAAUCAUGUAGUUUAGAUCCUUCAUGCUGUUCGGCCAUAUUCUUCUGUUCAAUGCUUACCAACAGGCCUUCCAAAAAGAUAAUGAGUUGAUGAUGAGCAUCACAUAAUAAUGGAAGGCAUGCUUGAAAUCCAAGCACAUGGUUUGGUGUCUGUUUGAUACGUGUAAUAUGAUUUGGCCUGUCAUUUCCUGAUGCUGGAACCCAAUAAAUUGCUGCCUCUUUUUAUAUAAAAUCAUUUAUACUUUGCUGCUAAGAG
rnacentral:misc_RNA from 1 species